rnacentral:rRNA from 1 species
GUAGGUGGCAAGCGUUGUCCGGAAUUAUUGGGCGUAAAGCGCGCGUAGGUGGGUUCUUUAAGUCUGAUGUGAAAGCCCCCGGGCUUAACCGGGGAGGGUCAUUGGAAACUGGGGAACUUGAGUGCAGGAGAGGAAAGUGGAAUUCCACGUGUAGCGGUGAAAUGCGUAGAUAUGUGGAGGAACACCAGUGGCGAAGGCGACUUUCUGGCCUGUAACUGACACUGAGGCGCGAAAGCGUGGGGAGCAAACAGGAUUAGAUACCCUGGUAGUCCACGCCGUAAACGAUGAGUGCUAAGUGUUGGGGGGUUUCCGCCCCUCAGUGCUGCAGCUAACGCAUUAAGCACUCCGCCUGGGGAGUACGGUCGCAAAGACUG